rnacentral:sRNA from 1 species
AUUCCUGAUUUGGACUGGUUUACUAACGUAGGGUUAAUAUAUAUAUAUAUAUUAUAUAUAUAUAUUAACCCUACGUUAGUAAACCUGUCCAAAUCAG